rnacentral:lncRNA from 1 species
UUAAGGUUUCAGUUAAGUAGUACUCCUAGUUAAAGACUUUUGAUCUAGGGCGAGCACUAUUACAGUUGAAGGGCGAGCACUAUUACAGUUGUAGUUUACCCUAUCCAAAGAGGUCGUGACUGGCCCUCAGGGAUUUCUCUGUUAUCAAAAAAGAAAAAGUUACUCCUAGAAUCUUUUUUUCCUCCAAUAUGAAGUAGGUGUGUUUUUCUCCUUUUUGUAUAAAGAAAACUCAGAUAUAUAUAGUGAUAAUGAUAUACAUGCUAUAUU